UGGCAUAAGAAUUUGAUUUCCUGCAUGAGAGAGGAGGGCAGCCCUGGGAAAGACAUUUCACCUUGGAUUCCUUAGAAAGCAACAAAAGAAGGUUGUGUUUUCAAGAUAGGAUGUCGACAAGGAUGGCACAUCUAUGUACGGAGAGCCCCUGUGCACAGGCGACUUCAUUUCUACAUAGCUGCUUUCUGGAAGCUUGCAGGGACAGAAAUCCCACCCUCUCCAGGGGACUCAUGAGCAUCGUAUGCCCGACAGUAAAAGCCCAGGAUUACUGUUGACAAAACCACUGGUGAUGAUACAUCUCUGGGCUAACCCCCUCCAUGCUGAUGCACGUGCCCAGGGGGAUGUCCUGCUGGCCCAGCAGCAUCUAGACCUCCCCUUGGCUAUCAGCAGCUGGCUGAACAGUGCUGGCCAAUGUCACCAGAGAGGUAAAUAUGCUGCAUUGUUGUUCUCUAUGAAAGAUCAGAAUGUGGUUGGCCCUUUUCUCUCAUGCACUUCAUUGAUCAUUCCCAGUCCCCAUCUCCUAGAACCAACAGUACACUUCACAAGAGUUUUUAUGUAAAACCAUUUUAUGUAUACAAAACUGCUUAUGUGCCAGGCACUGUGCUGAGUCCUUUACUCACAUCUCAACUUGGUCCUCACAACUGCUUUAUGGAGUGUCAUCUGUGGAGCUGGAGCCAAGGUUGAGCCCCUUUGGGCCCCUGGGCCCUCAGCAGAACCUUGUGUCAUGGUGCAUGUGGAGUCAGGCCCAACAAAAGGAAGUGACCUGCCAGAGGACACCCAACAGGUAAUGGCAGGACCAACAGGUUUGGCAGAUCUACUCAGUCUGGUGGCCUUUCCACAGCACUAGCUUGCGGUUCUCCUCAUGUGGCUCAUCGGAAACUUGCCAAGGAUGAACGUAGGGAAGCUGUGACUGAGAGGCUGCCUCUGCAGUGCCUGGCACCUCUGUCUCCCCCUCUGCAAGCCAUCCCACUCACACUCUCCUCCCAAACAUGAAUAAAGGGAAGCCAUGAAGUGUC